GAGUGGAUGCCCGAGCGGUCAAUGGGGGCGGAUUGUAAAUCCGUUGGAUUUCCUACAUCGGUUCAAAUCCGAUUCGACUCA
rnacentral:tRNA from 1 species